GGGUUGUGAGGUUAAGCGACUAAGCGUACACGGUGGAUGCCCUGGCAGUCAGAGGCGAUGAAGGACGUGCUAAUCUGCGAUAAGCGUCGGUAAGGUGAUAUGAACUGUUAUAACCGGCGAUUUCCGAAUGGGGAAACCCAGUGUGUUUCGACACACUAUCAUUAACUGAAUCCAUAGGUUAAUGAGGCGAACCGGGGGAACUGAAACAUCUAAGUACCCUGAGGAAAAGAAAUCAACCGAGAUUCCCCCAGUAGCGGCGAGCGAACGGGGAGCAGCCCAGAGCCUGAAUCAGUAUGUGUGUUAGUGGAAGCGUCUGGAAAGGCGCGCGAUACAGGGUGACAGCCCCGUACACAAAAAUGCACAUGCUGUGAGCUCGAUGAGUAGGGCGGGACACGUGGUAUCCUGUCUGAAUAUGGGGGGACCAUCCUCCAAGGCUAAAUACUCCUGACUGACCGAUAGUGAACCAGUACCGUGAGGGAAAGGCGAAAAGAACCCCGGCGAGGGGAGUGAAAAAGAACCUGAAACCGUGUACGUACAAGCAGUGGGAGCACGCUUAGGCGUGUGACUGCGUACCUUUUGUAUAAUGGGUCAGCGACUUAUAUUCUGUAGCAAGGUUAACCGAAUAGGGGAGCCGAAGGGAAACCGAGUCUUAACUGGGCGUUAAGUUGCAGGGUAUAGACCCGAAACCCGGUGAUCUAGCCAUGGGCAGGUUGAAGGUUGGGUAACACUAACUGGAGGACCGAACCGACUAAUGUUGAAAAAUUAGCGGAUGACUUGUGGCUGGGGGUGAAAGGCCAAUCAAACCGGGAGAUAGCUGGUUCUCCCCGAAAGCUAUUUAGGUAGCGCCUCGUGAAUUCAUCUCCGGGGGUAGAGCACUGUUUCGGCAAGGGGGUCAUCCCGACUUACCAACCCGAUGCAAACUGCGAAUACCGGAGAAUGUUAUCACGGGAGACACACGGCGGGUGCUAACGUCCGUCGUGAAGAGGGAAACAACCCAGACCGCCAGCUAAGGUCCCAAAGUCAUGGUUAAGUGGGAAACGAUGUGGGAAGGCCCAGACAGCCAGGAUGUUGGCUUAGAAGCAGCCAUCAUUUAAAGAAAGCGUAAUAGCUCACUGGUCGAGUCGGCCUGCGCGGAAGAUGUAACGGGGCUAAACCAUGCACCGAAGCUGCGGCAGCGACGCUGAUGCGUUGUUGGGUAGGGGAGCGUUCUGUAAGCCUGCGAAGGUGUGCUGUGAGGCAUGCUGGAGGUAUCAGAAGUGCGAAUGCUGACAU
rnacentral:rRNA from 1 species